rnacentral:lncRNA from 1 species
AUGUCGUGCUAUGGAAGAACGCCGUAUGAUCCUCCAAACGUUGCCAAAUUUCCUUGGAUAAGUUACGAAUUUAUAAGGAAAUUCAUGAAGAUUCUCCUUCCAAUUUUGCAGAUAAUUUCAUUCGCAACUAGAUCUAAACUAUCUGGAAAUCUCAAGAGAAAAUAUUUACAAUUCUCCUAUCAAAAAUGAGCAUUUUACCGAAGGAAAUUUGGCAACUCUCGAAUGUUCAUACGGUGUUUUUCCUUAGCACGGUAGCAUUCAUGUCAGUAACCUGGUGAAUAAUAAAUGCUGCUGUAAAAGUGGUAAGCUAACCUUUGAGCCGCCUAAGUUCACAUGCGAGAGGGUUUAUGAGAUUUGUAAGUUCUUUAAAGUUCAACGAUGUUGUAUUGUAAUAGUGCCUUACUUUUAAAAGUCGUGGUUGAUUUUCUCACGUCUCGCGGAGACUGUUAGGCGUGACUCGAAGGUGCAGUUCGUCGAAAGGGAAUGGAUUCAAGGGGUAAAGAAUGAGUGUGGCACGAAGAGCUUUUUAUCCUAUUGAAUGAAAAUCGACGGAAAACUCGCUGGAAAUUAUAUGAUGCUUCUUGCCACUUAGAAGGAAUAGAUCGAGUGAAAGUGGAAAAAUUAAACCUUGUCCCUUCUCCCUUUUUUUAAAGUUUUUGUUCUUUCCUUUUUUCAAAAAACCAAAAUGUUAUUUUGUUCUCCCAAUACUACCAAUACAACCUAUUUUUUACACCUUUAGAGAUGUAAAUGGCGUGUGAUGUCUGGGCACCUCAUGAAAAUUAACUCGUUCUCUACUACUUUUAUACUUUUAAAUGUUUGACGUAUAUCCUCAAAAUAUGUUUCUCUCUUUUUUCCAGAGGGUAACUGUUGUUCGAGGGCCGAAGGUGCAUGCCGAAGUGCUUGUGAGCAGCUAUCUCCGUCAAAUUUUGCGGCCGAUACCCAAGCCCGAUUGCAGCGAGUUGCAGAUCUCGAAAACGUUUGCAAUCCUCAAUUGUUUCACUUCUGGAGGUGCAUUAACGGAACGCUAGAAGAGAUUAAUAAGAGCCCGCAUUGGCAUGGACGACCUUGCUGCACGUUCGCCCAGUCGGAGCGGUGCAAAGAAGCCUGUCUGUCGGCCAACUCCCGAUCGGAUCUCGUGUCCAACUGUAGGUACAGCGACGAGCUUGCCCUCUUCACCUGUGUCGAUCGUCAAAAGGUAUGUUGGUUAGGUAUCCUAAUAACGCAUGGUUUAAAUUAAAAUGUUAAAAACUUCACUCAGUGUAUCGAAAAUUUGGUCUUGGGUGCGGUG